GACGAACGCUGGCGGCGUGCUUAACACAUGCAAGUCGAACGGAAAGGCCCUGCUUUUGUGGGGUGCUCGAGUGGCGAACGGGUGAGUAACACGUGAGUAACCUGCCCUUGACUUUGGGAUAACUUCAGGAAACUGGGGCUAAUACCGGAUAGGAGCUCCUGCUGCAUGGUGGGGGUUGGAAAGUUUCGGCGGUUGGGGAUGGACUCGCGGCUUAUCAGCUUGUUGGUGGGGUAGUGGCUUACCAAGGCUUUGACGGGUAGCCGGCCUGAGAGGGUGACCGGCCACAUUGGGACUGAGAUACGGCCCAGACUCCUACGGGAGGCAGCAGUGGGGAAUAUUGCACAAUGGGCGGAAGCCUGAUGCAGCAACGCCGCGUGCGGGAUGACGGCCUUCGGGUUGUAAACCGCUUUCGCCUGUGACGAAGCGUGAGUGACGGUAAUGGGUAAAGAAGCACCGGCUAACUACGUGCCAGCACCCGCGGUGAUACGUAGGGUGCGAGCGUUGUCCGGAUUUAUUGGGCGUAAAGGGCUCGUAGGUGGUUGAUCGCGUCGGAAGUGUAAUCUUGGGGCUUAACCCUGAGCGUGCUUUCGAUACGGGUUGACUUGAGGAAGGUAGGGGAGAAUGGAAUUCCUGGUGGAGCGGUGGAAUGCGCAGAUAUCAGGAGGAACACCAGUGGCGAAGGCGGUUCUCUGGGCCUUUCCUGACGCUGAGGAGCGAAAGCGUGGGGAGCGAACAGGCUUAGAUACCCUGGUAGUCCACGCUGUAAACGGUGGGUACUAGGUGUGGGGUCCAUUCCACGGGUUCCGUGCCGUAGCUAACGCUUUAAGUACCCCGCCUGGGGAGUACGGCCGCAAGGCUAAAACUCAAAGGAAUUGACGGGGCCCCGCACAAGCGGCGGAGCAUGCGGAUUAAUUCGAUGCAACGCGUAGAACCUUACCUGGGUUUGACAUGGAUCGGGAGCGCUCAGAGAUGGGUGUGCCUCUUUUGGGGUCGGUUCACAGGUGGUGCAUGGCUGUCGUCAGCUCGUGUCGUGAGAUGUUGGGUUAAGUCCCGCAACGAGCGCAACCCUUGUUCACUGUUGCCAGCACGUUAUGGUGGGGACUCAGUGGAGACCGCCGGGGUCAACUCGGAGGAAGGUGGGGAUGACGUCAAGUCAUCAUGCCCCUUAUGUCCAGGGCUUCACGCAUGCUACAAUGGCUGGUACAGAGAGUGGCGAGCCUGUGAGGGUGAGCGAAUCUCGGAAAGCCGGUCUCAGUUCGGAUUGGGGUCUGCAACUCGACCUCAUGAAGUCGGAGUCGCUAGUAAUCGCAGAUCAGCAACGCUGCGGUGAAUACGUUCCCGGG
rnacentral:rRNA from 1 species